rnacentral:rRNA from 1 species
CUAGCCGUAAACGAUGGAUACUAGGUGUGGGUGUCGCAGGGCAUCCGUGCCGCAGUUAACGCGUUAAGUAUCCCGCCUGGGGACUACGGUCGCAAGACUGAAACUCAAAGGAAUUGACGGGGGCCCGCACAAGCGGUGGAGCACGUGGUUUAAUUCGAUGCAAACCGAAGAACCUUACCUGGGUUUGACAUGCAGGUGGUAGUGAAAUGAAAGUGGAACGACCUUGCAGCGAUGUAAGGAGCCUGCACAGGUGC